rnacentral:lncRNA from 1 species
GAACCACGGCCGGCGGGAGGGGCGAGGCCGGGCUGAACCAUGGCGGGCGGCGGCAUGGGGGCGGUGGAGCUCCGCGGGCAGCCUGGUUGCGCUGCACCCACACGACCGCGCCGUUCUCCAGAAUAGCCCCGGCCGCGGCUGAGUCGCGCUUCGGGUGUGGACGGAGCCGGAGCCUCCCCGGGGCGCGAAUCGACAUCUAGAGGAGUAUUCACCACUUAAUUGAUGAUCAAUACACGUUCGUUGAAAGAACCGAUAGCAUGCGAUCGAUACAGAGCAUCUGCACUGGGAGUGUCCGCCCCGCCUGGCAGGGAGGCCUCGGGGGCUAAUGGAGCUGAGGGUAUAGUCGGCCUUGGACCCUCGCUUUUUUCCUUUCCUGUACCAUGAAGAUAACUGCCUUAUCUCCCCCUCAGGACUGUUUUGGGGAUUAAAUAGGACGUUUAAAU